UGGGGAAUAUUGCACAAUGGGCGCAAGCCUGAUGCAGCCAUGCCGCGUGUGUGAAGAAGGCCUUCGGGUUGUAAAGCACUUUCAGCGAGGAGGAAGGUGGUGAGCUUAAUACGCUCAUCAAUUGACGUUACUCGCAGAAGAAGCACCGGCUAACUCCGUGCCAGCAGCCGCGGUAAUACGGAGGGUGCAAGCGUUAAUCGGAAUUACUGGGCGUAAAGCGCACGCAGGCGGUUUGUUAAGUCAGAUGUGAAAUCCCCGGGCUCAACCUGGGAACUGCAUUUGAAACUGGCAAGCUAGAGUCUCGUAGAGGGGGGUAGAAUUCCAGGUGUAGCGGUGAAAUGCGUAGAGAUCUGGAGGAAUACCGGUGGCGAAGGCGGCCCCCUGGACGAAGACUGACGCUCAGGUGCGAAAAGCGUGGGGAGCAAACAGGAUUAGAUAACCCCUGGUAGUCCACGCUGUAAAACGAUGUCGAUUUUGGAGGUUGUGCCCUUGAGGCGUGGC
rnacentral:rRNA from 1 species